rnacentral:tRNA from 1 species
GGCCACGUGGUGAAGUAGCUAACACUGGAGUCUGCAAAACUCCUAUUCGCGGGUGCAAAUCCCGCCGUGGCCU